rnacentral:rRNA from 1 species
UACGGAGGGUGCAAGCGUUAUCCGGAUUUACUGGGCGUAAAGGGCGCGUAGGCGGCCACCGCAAGUCGACUGUGAAAUCUCCGGGCUUAACCCGGAAAGGUCAGCCGAUACUGCGGGGCUAGAGUGCAGAAGGGGCAACUGGAAUUCUCGGUGUAGCGGUGAAAUGCGUAGAUAUCGAGAGGAACACCUGCGGCGAAGGCGGGUUGCUGGGCUGACACUGACGCUGAUGUGCGAAAGCUAGGGGAGCGAACGGG